GACGAACGCUGGCGGCGUGCUUAACACAUGCAAGUCGAACGAUGAAGCUAGAGCUUGCUCUGGUGGAUUAGUGGCGAACGGGUGAGUAACACGUGAGUAACCUGCCCCGAACUCUGGGAUAACUGCUGGAAACGGUAGCUAAUACCGGAUAUGACCAAUGAAGGCAUCUUCUGUUGGUGGAAAGAAUUUCGGUUCGGGAUGGACUCGCGGCCUAUCAGCUUGUUGGGGAGGUAACGGCUCACCAAGGCGACGACGGGUAGCCGGCCUGAGAGGGUGAUCGGCCACACUGGGACUGAGACACGGCCCAGACUCCUACGGGAGGCAGCAGUGGGGAAUAUUGCACAAUGGGCGCAAGCCUGAUGCAGCAACGCCGCGUGAGGGACGACGGCCUUCGGGUUGUAAAGCUCUUUCGGCCGGGAAGAAAUCGCACAGGCUAAUACUCUGUGUGGAUGACGGUACCGGCAUAAGAAGCACCGGCUAAC
rnacentral:rRNA from 1 species